AAGCAGAAGCAACUGUCAGCUCCAAGUCCCUCUUUUCCUUGGCCUCUGGGAGAGAGGUGAAGCUGCUCAAUUUUGGUCAUUAAUCCCAUGAACAACGCUAGAAAGUUUAUGGAGAUCAGGCCAGGCAAAUUGCAGAGCUGAAUGCAAGAUUUUUUUUUUGACUGGGGAUUAAUCAAGUGUUGGAUCUUGAAUUGCCUACGUCAAUACCUCCGAAGUGACCCCUUCCACACAGAGUUACAAAACAGCUGGAACACAGGCUUGAAGUACUCCAAGGAAUAGCGAGCCUCAGGGAAUAAUGUAUAGCCCCAGGCAACAGAAGUGGAUUAUUUCAGGCUGAGGAGCAUUUUGUGCCCGCUUUCUGUCCAAAGUUUCACCUGACCAUGACCAAACUAAUGGUAAAUGAGAGAGAGGCAGUUACAGCUGGAGAAGUAUCUUCAAAAUGGCUUGGAAUCUAGAUAAAUUGUGCUUGUGUCUGACUAUUGCAAAUUGCCAAGUUUUCCAUUCCUCUUUUCAUGUUGCUGUGGUACUAAUGAGAAUAAUGUCGUUUUGGAGCAGGUUGGUGCAGCAUGACUCCACAGCAUUUUUAGGGAGGGGAUGCUGUUUUGGUUUUCUGGGAAGUGCUUGCUAUGCUGUGGUAACCUUGCUUGAAGUGAGCUGUUCUGGGAAGUGUGUGUGUUUUGAAGAACCAAAUAUGAGGUUUGUAUCUCAAGAGCUCUUCACUUGCCAUGUGUGACUAGGGUAUGUAAAGGGAAUUCAGAAGGGCUAUAGAAAAUUAUAUGAAUAAGUAUUCCUAAAAAAAUCUAGAAAGAUUUUUC
rnacentral:lncRNA from 1 species